AUUGAACGCUGGCGGCAGGCCUAACACAUGCAAGUCGAGCGGAUGAAGGGAGCUUGCUCCUGGAUUCAGCGGCGGACGGGCGAGUAAUGCCUAGGAAUCUGCCUGGUAGUGGGGGAUAACGUCCGGAAACGGCGCUAAUACCGCAUACGUCCUGAGGGAGAAAGUGGGGGAUCUUCGGACCUCACGCUAUCAGAUGAGCCUAGGUCGGAUUAGCUAGUUGGUGGGGUAAAGGCCUACCAAGGCGACGAUCCGUAACUGGUCUGAGAGGAUGAUCAGUCACACUGGAACUGAGACACGGUCCAGACUCCUACGGGAGGCAGCAGUGGGGAAUAUUGGACAAUGGGCGAAAGCCUGAUCCAGCCAUGCCGCGUGUGUGAAGAAGGUCUUCGGAUUGUAAAGCACUUUAAGUUGGGAGGAAGGGCAGUAAGUUAAUACCUUGCUGUUUUGACGUUACCAACAGAAUAAGCACCGGCUAACUUCGUG
rnacentral:rRNA from 1 species